rnacentral:lncRNA from 10 species
UAGAUCAUAAGCUAAAAUAUGAAACGCAAGGGGAGAGAAAACAAAAAUAUAAAAGAUUUAGCUCCUUAAAGAAGUAACAGAAAAUGGCUUCCAACUUCAUGUUGCAAUUAAAUAAUAACUAUUAUUAUAUUAUUGAGACAGAGUCUCGCUCUUCAGGCUGGAGUACAGUGGCAAGAUCUUGGCUGACUGCAGCUUUGACCUCCCAGGUUCAAGUAGUUCUCCUGCCUCAGCCAUCUGAGUAGCUGGGAUUACAGGUGUGAGCCAUUGUGCCUGGCCUAACUAAUUAUUUUUUGAGAAGAACUCAUUGAUAGCACAAAAGUACUUGGAGAAACUACUUAAGCUAACUACUAUUAAGCUGUCUUCUUUCACAAAUAUUAAUAAAAGUACUGAUAGAAAUGUAACUAAGAUACAUAAUGUGUUUUAAUACACAUUAAUCUUUUGAAUUACACAUUUUCUCUUGAGGAUUAUAAUAAAAUGAUGGUACAAUUUAUCCUUCUUUAUAGAUUUGUGGAAAGUACCAACAUAAUUGACAAGAAAUGAAAUACUGCCAUUUAAAAGUCCUGUAUUAAAAUAAAACUACUUUGAAUCAUCUUAGACUAAAUAUUUUAAAAACUGAUUCAAGUGCUUAUUCAUAAGAUAAUGGAAUUUUAAAUAAGAAAAGCCAAAUUAAAAAUUAUAUUUUAGGCAAAAACCAUUUUAACACAGAUAAUACUGUGAUAUUUAUUUUCCUGAAGAAAACCACUUAUGCUAGUUA